rnacentral:rRNA from 1 species
GCACGGAGUUAGCCGGUACUUCCUUUGGAGGUACCGUCACCCUCGGCAAGCCGAGUAUUCGUUCCUCCCGACAGUGGUUUAUAACCCGAAGGCCGUCAUCCCACACGCGGCGUCGCUGCGUCAGCCUUGCGGCCAUUGCGCAAGAUUCCCCACUGCUGCCUCCCGUAGGAGUCUGGGCCGUGUCUCAGUCCCAAUGUGGCUGGCCAUCCUCUCAGACCAGCUACCCGUCGUCGCCUUGGUGGGCCGUUACCCCGCCAACUAGCUGAUAGGCCGCGAGACUCUCCGCCGGCGCCCGAAGGCUUUCAUCAUUCAGGGAUGCCCCUAAAUGAUCGUACGCGGUAUUAACCGGCCGUUGGGCCGGCUAUCCCCCACCGAUGGACAAGUUUCUCACGUGUUACGCACCCGUCUGCCACUGAACUGGAGAGUUGCCCCCCCAGUCCCGUUCGACUUACAUGUGUUAGGCACGCCGCCAGCGUUCGUC